rnacentral:rRNA from 1 species
AUUGAACGCUGGCGGCAGGCUUAACACAUGCAAGUCGAGCGGGGUGAUGGUGCUUGCACUAUCACUUAGCGGCGGACGGGUGAGUAAUGCUUAGGAAUCUGCCUAUUAGUGGGGGACAACAUCUCGAAAGGGAUGCUAAUACCGCAUACGUCCUACGGGAGAAAGCAGGGGAUCACUUGUGACCUUGCGCUAAUAGAUGAGCCUAAGUCGGAUUAGCUAGUUGGUGGGGUAAAGGCCUACCAAGGCGACGAUCUGUAGCGGGUCUGAGAGGAUGGUCCGCCACACUGGUACUGAGACACGGCCAAGACUCCUACGGGAGGAAGCAGUGGGGAAUUUUGGAAAAUGGGGGGAACCCUGAUCCAGCCAUGCCGCGUGUGUGAAGAAGGCUUUAUGGUUGUAAAGCACUUUAAGCGAGGAGGAGGCUCUUUUGGUUAAUACCCAAGAUGAGUGGACGUUACUCGCAGAAUAAGCACCGGCUAACUCUGUGCCAGCCGCCGCGGUAA